rnacentral:rRNA from 1 species
UACGGGGGGAGCAAGCGUUGUUCGGAUUUACUGGGCGUAAAGGGCGCGUAGGCGGCCACUGCAAGUCAGUUGUGAAAUCUCCGGGCUUAACCCGGAAAGGUCAACUGAUACUGCAGGGCUAGAGUGCAGAAGGGGCAACUGGAAUUCUCGGUGUAGCGGUGAAAUGCGUAGAUAUCGAGAGGAACACCAGUGGCGAAGGCGAGUCUCUGGACGACUCCUGACACUGAGGCACGAAAGCUAGGGGAGCAAACAGG